AUUGAACGCUGGCGGCAGGCCUAACACAUGCAAGUCGAGCGGAGCGGCAGACGGGUGAGUAAUGCCUAGGAAUCUGCCUGGUAGUGGGGGAUCAAGUCCAGAAACGGGCGCUAAUAUCGCAUACUAUCAGAUGAGCCUAGGUCGGAUUAGCUAGUUGGUGGGGUAAAGGCCUACCAAGGCGACGAUCCGUAACUGGUCUGAGAGGAUGAUCAGCCACACUGGAACUGAGACACGGCCCAGACUCCUACGGUAGGCAGCAGUGGGGAAUAUUGGACAAUGGGCGAAAGCCUGAUCCAGCCAUGCCGCGUGUGUGAAGAAGGUCUUCGGAUUGUAAAGCACUUUAAGCGGGGAGGCGUUACCAACAGAAGAAGCACCGGCUAACUCCGUGCCAGCAGCCGCGGUAAUAC
rnacentral:rRNA from 1 species